CGUUGAGUCCUGAGUCGGGGCCGAAGGGAAUGGAACAGGCGAGGAGAGGCGUUGGCCCCGGUGCCCAGAGGCGGCUCUGAGGCCCCCUGAGCCCGUAGUUGACUGCGGUGCCCUCGUUCCCGCCCCGCCCACCGCCUCUUCCGGCUCCGUUCUUCCCACCGGCCGGUGACCCCGGUGACCGAGGCUUCGCCGAUGAGGCUGGCUCAGGUCUGGAGCCACCUCUUUGGAAAGAAAACAUCAAGGAAGAUGGUGCCUCCGUCUCCCAGUUGCUGCAGUAGGCGUCAGGUCCUACCUUUCGGGUCAUAAAGACACAGAUGGGAAGUUCUAGGAUUGCUUCGGAUAAAGGUGAAGAGCUCCUGCAGAGCAUCACUCGAAUUCCCAGGCACAUUUAGGAUAAACUAACAAAUGGGGCAAUCAAGUCCUCUCACCUGAAGGCAAUUACCAAUAAAAAGACAUUUAAUCAAAGAAGACAAUACACCUGGAAAAUGAAUACAGGAAUGUUCAACAUCAUGAAUCACUAGAGAAAUGCAUCAGACCACAGUGAGGCAUGUAUCCACACUUUUAAAACAGAGAGCCCUUCACUCUACCCCAGGAGGCCUUGGACAACAACGCAAAAUGGACCAGAACUGGAGUGAAAACUAUUCUCUGCCAUGAUACUACCCCCACUGAUGUAUACUAAGUUUG